rnacentral:lncRNA from 13 species
AGGAGUGAAUACGCCGCGGCGGUUUCGGCGAAAAACGCCUUUGCCCGUGAUCGAAACGCAAAAAUUUGUGUAGGCGGCGAAAAACGUCACUUUUUAUGUCGCACCUCGCUAGCGUCGAUCGUCAACGAUGGUCGCUCCUCGACUCGUCGUCAGUCAACAACGAAAUUGCGAAAGAGGAUCGAAAACGUGCGUGCUCGACGGGCCUCGAUUGAUCGUCGUCGUGACAUUCGACACGUCGCCUUGGUCGGCGAGUCGAAUCACUCGAAUCACGCUAGCGAAGUAACGAUCGCUAACUGCUGAAGAAAAGGAGAGUGAGAGAGGGAAAGAGAGCCGAGUUGCGAGCGAUCGAGAGAUCGCGCUUGAUAUGGAGAUUCGCUUCGGUUCGCUUCGGUUCGCUUCAGGACCGUGAAUAACGAGAAACUGAACCAACGGGCGACACACACUCUUCUCUCGCACGCAAUCAUGGCUGCCUAGCACAGGGCGCGUAUCGACCAAUUUUGUCAAACGUCAUUUCAGGCCCGCGAAUCAUACCGAGGAUUCCGCGUUGAGGAAUGUAGGCGACGAAAGCACGGAUCAAAAUAACAAUAUAACUAUGACUAGCGAAGAUCUGCUGCAGCCUGGCCAUGUGGUCAAAGAGCGUUGGAAAGUUGUAAG